ensembl:lncRNA
CGGGGGGGGGGCGGGGGGGUGGGGGGGAGCGCCGCUGCCUCCCCUCUGCCUUCCCUCUCCCUGCACCUCCCUCUCUCCUUCCCUUCCCCUCCCCUCCCCUCCCCGGGGAAGCGAUGCUCACGCAGAGGAAUGGGGAUGAGCCCCCCAGGUUCCACUCCACGCACCUGUCCCCCCCCGGUCCUGCCCUCCCGUCAUCCCCCAUGCAGACCCUCCUUUGCGGAAAAUAAAGUUGAGUUUUCCCGUCGGGAUGGAGCCUCUUUGCCAGCCCCCCCUUCUCUUCCCGUACCUCUCCCUUGACAGAGUGUGCCGUCGGUGUGCCCCCCCCUCCCCCGCCCCCCCCCCCCCUCCCGCAACUCCCCAUUACUAUUUCUCAGUCCCUUUCUAUCAGCGUGACAACCGCUGGGGGAAAGGCAGUCGGGAGCGGUGAUUAAAAUGGACACAAAUCCACUAAAGACUUCCAGCUCUGUGGUGGCGUUUGAAACCUCAUUAUUUUUGCGGACCUGCAGCGAAUAUCCAGGACGUGGCCGGCUGCGGGACAGCGGUGCGGGGCUGCGGGGCUCCGAGCACCCCCGGGCUCGGAGGGAGCCGGGAGCCGCCCAUCCACCCCCGUCCCAUCGGGAGAACCCGCAGUCGGGCUCCGUGCCGGUACAGCCGCCUCCGAGUUUCGGAAGCCAACCGCAGCUCGGUGUGAAACCAUCCCGGCUCCGCGGCUCUUCCCCGGGUCCGGCGUGGAGCCGUCUUUACUCAAUUCCCUCAGGCAGAAAAAUGCCUGCAGCUAUUAUCCAGCCCAUCCGCCGGAAAAGAGAGGCUACGGCAAAGCCGCGACCCUUAUUUUCAAACGACAAACUGACCAACAAAUCUUGAAUAAAUAUUUCUUGAAGCUGCUCCUCCAUAGAUAACAAAAAUCUCCAUUUGUCACCUAAACGCGGGCAUUCCGGUGUCAGUGCUUUUUUACCAGUACACCGUAGGAGUGUUGCACUGAUUUCCAACCCAGACGCAGCUGCCACGAUACGGUUCCGAAGCUCAGAAGUCAGAACAGAACUGAUCUUAAAUCAACAGGUUUUCUCGGCUGCAGCAGUUUUAUUAAGUCUAAAAAUGAAGUCCAGUGACUAUCCUAUAAUUGCUGUUAAAUGCAGAUACCCCCUCCAACUGCGCUGCCAUCAGAAAUCCCAGCAAGCCAUUUGUAUUUCUUCCUGUACUUCAAACAUUAAUAUCAUUCAUACGGGAAGGGGAACCAUUACUGCACGAAUGCGAAUGAUAGACCUGGAAAUUGACCCUGAAAUAACAUGGGAAAUGUAAACGAAGACGAAUAUGGUUCUACCGUUUAAAAAUGAAAUGGGACUCGUGCUGUAGAACCGAAAUACAGAGAUGGUUAAAAUUGUGUCUUCCAUUGGACAACACAGGAUCUCAUUCCCGUGACUCUGGUAGAACUAUGCCUGAUCUGCACUGAAGCAAAAUCAGCGAAAGCUGUAACAUAAAGGCCAUAGACUACAAAAAUCAACAGGUGAAACCUAAUGGUAUCACUUUACAGAACUCAGCGUUCAGAGUUUGCACUGAUUUUCUCAUCUGAUUCCAUUUUAGAGCAGUAUGCAGUCAUCUGAUCGUUCUCUCUCUUUUUUUCACCUUUUCUUGCAUCUUAUGCUCGUCCUCUUGCUCUGAACACAAUCUCAAGCCUGAACCACGCUGUUCAGGUGCACAAAGCACCUUGCACGACCAAGGUGCAGAUUCAGUUUUUAAGUGUCUUGUGAGUAGAAAAUAUGGGGCUGGGAUCAGGUCAUCAUAGAAUCAUUAAGGUUGGAAAAAACCACUGAGAUCACAUAGUCUAGCCAUCAAUCCAUCCCACUGCAAUGUGAGGAAAUCAUUGAAUUUGAAGCUAGUGCUAUAAAACGGAGCUUUAUCCAACAUCAGGCUUUGGGGCUUAUUGGAGAGGCUGGGAAAACUCCUUACUGGCAAAUGAAGCAUUGGGACACUUCGUCAUCGCUGUCACUCACGGGUCCACCAGGACGUGUUACAGCUUUAAGAAGUCAGUUUUUGUCUGGGCAUCCAAGCACGUGUACCAAAAGGUUUCAUUUUUACUGUGACGGUAUAAAAUUUUUGCACAUAUUUUAUAUGUGUUUGCCUUUAUUUAUUUGUAUUUACUGGGGGAGAUGACAGCAUGUCAUCCAUUUGAUGCAUUAGCUGUAUAUGCUAAUAUACAUAUGUUAUAGGUGUGUGUAUACAUAUACACCCAUUUCCACGUUCUGUUGACUUUAUAGGUGUUUCAGUGCUGCAGAAGUGAAUGUCACCACAGUGAGAUGACUGCAAUGAGGUCUUGCUGAGGCAGUGAUUGCUGUGAGGUUAUUUGAACCUGUCAGCUCUUUUUCCAGUGAAGAGGAUUAAUUUUUGCUGGCCACCCCAGCUGUACCACCAGAACUGCCCUGAUUCACCCAGUGGGAGGAACUGCCUCUCUGUUACAGUAGGUCCAGCUGUGUUGUCAAUUCGUUGCCUCAAGCUUCACUCACGUGUCCCAGUGCCCUGAUUGCUCCCACUGCAGGAAUGCUGGUCCUGUUACUGAGAUGGAUGUUUUGUUUCCCUUGUGAAGAAACCUGGAGGUGUUGGUUUGCUCCUGAGCCCUCUGCUUGCAGGCAACACUGACACGAGACAAUCUGAACCAGGAGCCAUGGACUCGUUCCUUUCUGCACGCCAUAAAAGCAGCACGUGUGCAUCGAAUCAACUGAAUACUACCAAUGACUAAGAAACAGCCUGAGGUUUUUGGCUAAGGGUAUUAGAAUUCAGUAUUUGUAGGGAUCCAGGACAGCUAGAGAUAGAACUCUCAGUGAAAAUUACGGAAACUGUGCAUCUAAAUCCUUGGAUUUAGGUCAUCUCAAGCUGAAGAUUUGAGACAUCCAAUUUAAACCCCUCGAACCUCUGCUGAACCAUGGAUGCUCCAGGCAACACAAUACCCAGGAAUGCCACUGAGGAAACACAAGUAAAAACUUGCUAAUUAUUUUAAAGGAGAGACAGAGAGAUAACAAAUAUGCUAAGUUUUUUUUUUAUUGCUAUCUACCACUACUACAGUAACUGAGAUGGGAAAGUGGGAAAUAAUGCUCAGAAUAUCUGAGAAAUGUUGCUUAGCUUGAAAGUAUCUCUGCUACUGAUGUGAUGACUGUCUAGUGGGGUUGUGGUUGCUGGGAAUUCACACACUGAUUUUAUAGAGAGAUAAAAGAGUGGAGUUUAUAUGGAAUAAACCCCUUUUGAAUAAAACAAUCUGCAUAAAUGCUUUAAGAAAGCCUAUAAUUAUGAUAAAAAUGUUGCUCAGAGUUAAAAUUAUGAAGCAAUCAAAAUUUAUAAACAGUCACUCAUCGACUUUUAAUCAUACUUUCUCAUAUACAAACUGUAGAAAACAUAUAGUAGCAAUAUGUAACAAUACACAUUUAUUUUCAGUAAUUUAGGGUCUUACCCCAUAUUGUUUAGACAGACAAAGCUCGGCUUGUCAAGCUCUGUAGGAUUACCCUUAAAUGUAAAAAAAAACACAUGGAGGCCAGUAGUUUUAUAUACAUACGCUCAGCGGAAGCCUUAUCCCUGAACAGCUGAACACCUCGGAUCAGUGCUGUGCACCCUUUGAGCUAGGCCCAAAGCUUUCUGUGGUCAUAUUCACAUCAAUUGCCUCUGUACCAGGACCUCUUCUCCCCCUGCUUUCUUUGGAGGUACUUGCUCAUGGAUGUGGAUGUGACCCACAUCUUCCCUGAAAUUCCCUUGUAGACAUUGCUCUUCAUUUCUAACUCAUUAAUAAGAAUGGUUGAAUUAUAUCCAUCAUGUAGGACUUGGGUGCCAAGAGAUAUUCAAAGGAAGGAAUAUUCGUAGUGGGAUCCCUGCCAACUUGAAUGGUAGCCUACCAUAUCUAUAAGCUCCAUUGUUUCCUCUCAGCUGAGCUAUCUGAACAUAUUCAGGAUGCAGUUUGAUAUGUGUUCUGCAGUCUCUGUUUCAUGAGAAAUGUCACCACCGACGGGUCAAAUCAAUGAAAUACGUUCUUCAAACUUAUAUAUGUAUAUGCAUAUUAAAUAAUGUAUUUCUAGAUUCGUCUCUGAAACAUAAUAGCAUGUAAAAUCUUGCGCCUAAAUUCCUAUAAAAUAAGGUAUAUUGAAUUCAAUAACAGAGCCCUUAUUGAUAGGCUAACUGUUCAACUCUCCUUAAUGAUCAAAAUAACCUUUUUCUGUUAAAACGUUAAUUCAAAUACCACUUCUGAUUAGCCAUAUUAAUACGGAAAAAGACACUGACUUUCUCAUGGAGGACCAAAUAAUGCCCAUAAAUGCAUUAUCUCAAGAGGGGAGACCCUCACACGACUUCGUAUUGAUUCCAGUUACUUUCAGGUCCUUGGGAUCUUGUCUGGGUCUCUCUGACCAAAUGUCUGAACCAAAAGCCUCAGGCAGGGUAGGAGGCAAGCAGGACUGGAGGAGUUUUCGUCUGCAGACUGUGGGGUAGGAUCUAGGAGAUGCACAUCCUUUUAGCUUGUGGAGAAAAAUCACCAUUUUGCAUCUCUUAGAAAGAAAUGGGCUGCAUUUUGUAUCAGUUCUACAUGCUUGAAUAUGAACCAUGUUUUGGGAUUGAGAAAGUGAAACCUCCAGAGAGUUUUUCUCCUUUUUACAGCCCCUUUUUCUCACUUCGGGUGUAUGACUACAGAAGAACUGGGUAGAAAUUAUCUCUGUGAUUAAUACAACACUCCAUUUAAUAGACUUCCUCGCUAUGAACUCUAUAUUUAGCAGUCUAUAAUCAGUGAAUAUAAAUAUAAAACCUUACCUUGUAUCUACACAUGAGCCUAAAAAUGUAGCUGUGUUUCCCAAAAUGGCUGAGAUAGAUGAGCGUGUCAUGAGUAAUCUGUAUAGGAUGGAGGGCAAAAACGCUCCAACAAAAUCUAUACAAACCUAAAGCAUGAAACCAAGCACUGCAUAUGCUUACACUGAAAUUAUACCAGAAAUUGGGAGCAUGAACUACCUAACUAGGCCUCUGUCUGUUUUACAAACCAUGUUUGUUUAAAAAAGUCUAGAUCAUAAUUGCAAAUUCAAAUUUCUUCCCCAUUCUUACAUCGACAUUUGUGUUUUUCUCCUAAUGUUUCCCACGUGUAAAUGCAGCAGCUUCCUAGCCCUCUUGUUAUGUACUGCAUUCAGCGUAACAGUUUAGCAAAUUCUCCAAUUGUGUUGGUGUUAGCUUUCUCAGACAUGGAAAGCAAUUUGAUGUGUCCUUUUAACGAGUCAUUUUCAUGCAUGGAGGAAAACAGUGGUUGGGGAAGUUAUUAAAGCUUUCUACUCAUUGAUUUUAAGACUCACUACUGAAUUUAUGUUGCUUAAAAGCCAGCUUGUUUUGCUUUCUUCUAAACCUGAAGUUUGAAGAACUCCAGCUUCCUUUUACUUCUUUGUAGGGGCUGCAGUUUUGUCACUGACUGCCACAGAACUGUGACAGUGAAAUCAAAAAUACUGCUUUGAAGUUUUUAGUAUUUUGGUUGUUAGUGAUAACUGUCUAACGGGAAGAGAAUGCAAAGCUGCCCAUGAAUGGCAAGUCAGACCAAUGGGAAAAGGAGCUGUUCUCUUCAUUUGUAAGAGACAUUGACUCUAAAGUGCAAUGGUGUUGAUACAAAUGCCACCUUUUUUUUUAAUUAUCUUUAAAAAAAUUUUUUUUAACUAUCCUUCUGCUGCUCAUUUUUGUGAUGUAUGUAGUGAACUCACCUUGGUUGGAUACUGAGAUGGACGCAAAGUAGUAUGACUGAGAAAACUAAUUUUAAUGUAUGGCUUCAGAGGAAAAAGGAACUUGGGGCCAAACAAAAUAUGAUAUAAACAGAUCUGCAAGGUCUCCUAUGCUGGCCACUGAAGUCCUGCCAGUAGUCCUCAUAUCCCUGUCUGUGGUCAUAUGUGUUUUUGUACCAGUUUCUUUGGUGGUUUCAUUUCUCUGACAAGGCUUAGAGAGACAAAACAUACUGAGUAUACAAGCAAUAAAAAAGUAGUGCUCAACUUCCUUGCUGGAGUGGAUCACAUGAACAAUACCACAAAAUAGGGCAUAGGUGCACUCUCUUAGCCCUUUGUUCUGGAGGGACAACCCAGACAUGCCCUAAGUCCGUGCUGGGGGCAGACCAAAGUGCUCACCAUCUUGUCCCAGUAUUCAGGUUUUCACCAGGUGCACCAGAAAAAAACCUGUGGAACUUAGGCCAGGGGGUUCACUGAUCUAAACCAUCUGAACUUACAGCUAUUGGCUGUGCUGCUGAGUGUGUACAUCUAAUGUAAAUGCAUAAUCAUAGAAUCAUAGAAUUGUCUGAGCUGGAGAAGACCUUUAAAAGUCAUCUAGACCAAUUCCCCUGCAAUGAAUAGGGACAUGUACAGCCUAAUCACACUGCUCAAAGCCCCAUCCAGCCUGACCUUAAAUGUCUUUAGGGUCAGAGAAUCCAUAAUCUCUCUGGGCAACUUGUGCCAGUGCCUCACCACCCUUGUCAUAAAACACUUUUUCCUUAUAUCCAAUCUAAAUCUCCCUUCUUUUAGUUUGAAACCAUUUCCCCAUGUCCUGUCACAACCGACUCCUCUAAAGAGUCUGUCUCCUUCUUUCUUAGCCUUCCUUUAGAUUCUGAAAGGCCGCUCUCAGGUCACCUGGGAGCCUUCUCUUCUCCAGGCUGAACAACCCUUGAUCUCAGCAGGUCCUCACAUGGGAGGCGUUCCAUCUCUUGGAUCAUUUUUGUGGCACUCCUCUGCAUGUGCUUCAACAGGUCCACAUUUCUCCUGUACUGAGGACUUCACUUCAGACACCCACAUUGGUGGAAGAAUGUUCGGCAAAAAAUUAGUUUAAAACAGAGCGUCCCCAACACAAUGCUACAAUGAAAGCUUUUCUGGAUUGGCACUCAUCUGCUGUGCUCGCAGUAAGUUGUGCAUAGGUACAACUCAUUUUUACAAAUCUGUAUUUCAAAAGCAAAUUUUUGGGGGAUAAGGGACUGGCAGAAGGCAAAACCUAUAGGACUUCUUAUAUGAGUCCAUCAGUCCACUCAAAAGAAAAAAUGUAGCUUAAAUUCUUUAUUUUUUUUUAUCCUAAAGAAGAGUCUUCUAAAAGCACUGAUGUCUCAUAAUUUAGUGGAAAUGCAGAUGAAAUUAGUGGCUGAAAAUUCUGAAAUAUCAUUUAUAGAGUGCAGGCCUAAGAAUAUGUUUUCCAGAAUACAUAAAUAAAAUGCCAAUUACUUACUAAAAAUACUAAUUCAAUUAAAAGUUUUAGGAUUCUUCUUUUUUACAUUAGCAAAAUAACAUUGCCUGUACUUAGUGUCUGUAGAGUAGAACGACACAGGUCAUUAUGAAAUCUUAACAGUCUUACCACAUAGCGAACCCUCUGCAGUACAUGCUGAACUACUUAAAACAGCCAUGAAUUGUCCAAACAGAAUAAUUUGAUACUGGCUGUUUUCCACAUUUUAAUUAGCAAGAACAGACGGCUCUUGCAUAAUCCCAUUUAGUCUCUGUGCUUGGUACCUCCCGAAUAGCGCAGUGAUUAAGUUCAUACCUUCAUGUGGCUAAAUGCAUUAGCUGAAAGCAAACCACUAAGAUUCACUUUCUGACACAGACGUAAUGCAAGUGCAUUUCUUCCCACUGACUUAAGAGAGAAAAGACUCUAUUAACUUAUAGCCUGUUGGUCGCAAAGAUGCCCGGAGGUAUUUUGUAUAAAUGCAUAUUCAUGUCUCAUGCGAGCUUUUCCUCCCAGGCAGUUUCUUUUGUAACAGAGAUCAGAGUGCCCCCAUUACACAAUCACCGCUCUCAACACAUCCAGCCUAAUCACGCGAUUGAUCGCACUAAGUCAAAAUAUGGGAAUGUUCUGAACAGUUUUUUGCAGCUAACCCUUGCCGUGCAAUGGGCCGUGUGGCCAUGUAAAGGACAAAUCUAGGAAAGGGAACAUGAGGCUGCAGCCCACCUGCACACCAUGUGGGGUCCAGAGGCACAAUGAGACUAUCAGCAUCUUUCCUCCCCGUCACCGCUGCUGCGUUUGACUCUUACCACGAAACAGUAAGUUCUAUUAAUUACAGUGGAUAGCAAUUCUAAGUGGUUACAGAAGAUAUUGAGAGUUUUACUAUCCCAGCUCAGUUGCUUUACCUUCAAACAAACAAAAAAGAAAAGCAAAAAAACCAAAACCAAAAACAGACCCUACCAAACCACAAAACCAGCCAACCAACAACAAAACUAAAAAGAAAUGCAAACACAACAAAACUAACUGUGGUACAUUUUGUCUCUCCUGCAAUAUAUUUUGCUGUGAAAGUCUAGCUCAUACAUUGUAUAGCUUUUUGUGCAUUUUAAUAACAUUUUAACAAAUUUAAAGUAAGGAUAUAUAUGUCCAUUUGUUGUAAUGCAUUGGAUGAUAGAACAUAUGGAUCUCAGUGAGAUGUGUACACAUGUUUUUCUAAGAAAAUGGUAGUGGACAGCUGGUGUAAAAUGGCCAAUUUGCCUCAAAGUCAGAGGGAUGACUUCUAUGACUGGCAAAGUUACAAGAAGCAUGAUUAACAUAUUUCCUCAUUGGGAAAUACAAGUCUUGAUUUCCCAGUGAUAAAUACCAAUUCAUUUUUGCAUAGAUUUAUUUUUGUGGAAUAUAAAGGGUUCUGGCAUCAUCUCUCCAGGUGGGUUUCACUGUAUGAAAACUCCAAAUACUGGCACUGGGACUCAUCCUUGUUGCUGGUAUGAUUCUGUGUUCUUGUCAUAAGAAAUAAUAGCCUCACAGUUGAGGCCUAGGUGGAUGGGACUAGGUGGAGGCCUUCAUCUUGUCCUCAAGGCAUUGUCUCGACAAUAGUUAUCAUCUUUGUUUGUACCUCUAAAAUGUUGCUGCUGCCAUUUUCACCAAGUCUGGCUUUUGCUCAGGAUGCAGAGAGAAACACAGUUUGAGCCAAAGAAAAUGUGGGCAGAACCUGAGAUAGGUGUGACAGAAAAUGAAAAAAAAUCUCCCAAAUCCUAAAACAAAUGUAAUGGUCCUGAUUUACCAAUCCUUUCUCCUGGUGAAUACUGAAGAGUCUUCAAAGACAAAAAACAACUGGAUGAGUUUGUGAUAGGGAGUCAAUUAGAAUACAUACAGAUUUAAGCUAAUGCUGCCUUGAAGUGAAGGUGGAAAGAAGUACUUUACGUAGUCCAUGACUCCAGGGAAAGCUUUUAACUUCUUCUUCUUCUUUUUUUUUUUCUUGUCUUCACGAAUUUCUGUUUAUGUGCUUUAUUUCAGGUAAACUCCAUGCAGAAACGUACAAAGAUGCCCCCUUUUCCAUCUUCCAAUUACAAGAAGAAAAACAUGUGCAAGGAAGUUAGAAUCCUUAUGAUGCACGUUGUGUUUGCUAAUGAUUUAUUUUUUAAUGUUUAUUUGAAGUAAAGACAUCAUGAAUAUAAAUGAUAAGGCUCUUCUCAUACUUUUAUAAAAAGUAAAAGUAAAAUGCUUCUGACUCCUCCAAGCAGCCACAAGUGGCCAAUUCAGGAUGCUUGAUAUCCAGAAUAGAGAAAGGCGUCUUAUUUGAAAUCAGGCCAUUCUUAACCUCCACUUCUACAUCCUCCAGUACGUACAAUCCUCUCCUGGUUUAUGUGUUAAGCUCUGCGUCACACUCUGCAGACAUGGGUGUGUGUGGAGAAUCCUUAGGAGUCCCUUGCAGUAAAUGCCCAUUUUCUGUCAGGCUGGCUUGGAAAGAGGUUAAAAGGUUCUCUCAUGAGGAUCAGUGGCACAUUCUAGAGAACUAUAGAGAACACAGCUCAGGUAAUCAAUAGAAUAAAUUUAAGCGUGUUUGGUUUGUUGCAUGGACUCAGAUAAUCUUGCAAACAUGUUUUAAAGUUAACUACUGCAAUUGUCGUCUAAACAUAUUAAAGGGACGUUUUCCUCCUAGUCUUUUGUGAAGUCAUUAUAGCAUCCAAACUUUGCUAUAAUAUUGUUGACAUUAAAGUGAGGUGUAAUAAAUAGAAAAGGAUAAUUGCCAGAAGGCCAGUAAGGAUAAAAGGAAGCAGCUGACCUUAAUUUAACAGUAGUACUAUAAGCAAGGCUGGAAAGGAAAGAGUUGCCAAAGAAUGGCCACUAAAAUGACCUGCAUUGUAGGAACUAUAAAAAUGAUAUGCCACUUUCUGAUUUUCAAAUCAUGAAUAGCAAAUACAGGUGGCUUUGUGUUUGAGAAGACAUACAGAUGAACUGAAUGACAUUUACCUCGACAAAUGUCCACAUUAAAGUCAGUGGAGUUUUUUCCAAGGGUACAAUAAACUCUCUUCCUAAAGUACAUGUGUAAAAUGUAGUUCUCUAGAACUACAUCUAUUUUUCUUCACUGGAUAUGUAGAGUCCUGGAG